UUGCUGAUCAAGACAAAGAAAGGCUAGAUUCAGUUGUGUGGUAGUCAGACAUAAAAGAUGAGUAUCUGGCUGAUGAUGAUCUGGGUAUCUCUCACUGUGGGAACAGCGACAAAGCCGUUCAUUGUAACACAGUGGCCGACAGUGGCUGAGGUGAUGGUCGGAGAGGACGUCAUUUUAAAGUGCAACAUCAUGGAGUUGUACUCUUCAUGUUCCACGGUAGCUUGGCUGAGAGUCAUUCCUGAGAAUGCAACAAUCAGCCUCACUGACAGACUUCAAAUCGAUCCUCAUUACUCUUUCAACCACUGGACAAGUAUUUGUUCUGCUGUUAUCACCAAUUCAAUGGUGCAUGACUCCGGUAUGUACUAUUGUGCAGCUGUGCAAAGCCGCUUUGCUCACAUUGGCAAUGGAUCCAGGAUUAUUGUAAAAGAACACACUGUGUUUCCUGUUGUCGAAAUUCUUACACCGCAGAUCCCAACCGGAUCUUUAGUCCCUCUUCAUUGUGUUGUGACUGGGGUCGAGGCUUCUCAGGUUCGUAUGUCCUGGGCUAUAGACGGGAGAAAAGAGAAAGGACAGAGAGUUUUGACACAUGGGAAUGAUGGUGCCACCCAGAUCACCAGGAACCAAAUCCUGAUUACUGCUGAGGAGUGGGACAGGAAGGUGGAGUGCAUGUGUGUGGUGGAGUUUGGAGGACAGCUCUAUACCAAGACUCUUCAGCGACAUGAUGCAUCAAAUGUGUGCUAUGCUGUAAAAUACAUAUAUCUGUCUCUCUGUUUAAUUUUUGGUGUCCUGCUUCUGAUAACAGUGACUGUUUAUAAACUGGGACGAAAAACUUUUGUGAUGAUGUGUCUAAGCAAAAACCUAUAGCUUCGAAGAGUUUCAGUUUAUCUAUAUUUUGCUUUGACAAAUUUUUAUUCUUCAAACUUGGUGUUUGGCAUUGCUGUUUCAUGAGUAAUUGUGAUUUUUUUAUUUCAGAUUUUUAUUGAUGUUUGCAGAACUUUUUUGAAUAGUGUGUGUUAUUUUGUGAAAUGUCAAAGUUAAUUGAAAGGAUAAAUUCAGACUUUUUUUACACAA